rnacentral:rRNA from 1 species
AUUCCAGCUCCAAUAGCGUAUAUUAAAGUUGUUGCAGUUAAAAAGCUCGUAGUUGGAUUUCUGGUCUGAUGCCCUGGCCCGCCUCAAUUUCGAGGUGAGUGCCGGCUGUGCGUCUACCAUCCUUCUAGAAAACGUUCCUACCCUUCACUGGGCCGGGUUCGCGAUCUAGAUCUUUUACUUUGAAAAAAUUAGAGUGUUUAAAGCAGGCUUUUGCUAUGAAUACAUUAGCAUGGAAUAAUAAUCUAGGACUUCGGUUCUAUUUUGUUGGUUUCUAGUACUGAAGUAAUGAUUGAUAGGGAUAGUUGGGGGUGCUAGUAUUGGCCGGCCAGAGGUGAAAUUCUUGGAUUCGGUCAAGACUAACUUAUGCGAAAGCAUUCACCAAGGAUGUCUUCAUUG